AUAACUGACACUUUCCCAAGCACCAAAUAAAUACCGAGGAAGGGCUGCAGUCCUACCACGUUUGUACGAUACACAUAGUAGAAGGACAUAUUAAGCUUACUGAACACCGAUUCAAAUGGAGCAGGAGUUAAUUAACUGAAUUCGAGAAGCUGCUUGAUAAGAGUGGAUAAUAAGAAGAUUACACAGGCAGGACCUUAUUUGGAGUUAACACCAACACCAAUUCGAGAUUUUGUUAGCAAGUUCAGCUGUGUAUGGGUAUGCUAUAUGAUUAUUUUAAAGUCAGCCAUAGACAUGGCAGUUCCAAACCUCUGGGCGUACAUUUUGAAAUGGCUGUAAUAUGACUGACAGGUAAAUCUAUAUGCUAACUAAUUUAGCAUUUAGCAUUAAUAUGGGUUCUAGCUGAGAUUGGCAAUUAACACGGCGAUCCGGGUUUUAGAUGUCUCGACGACUAUUAGAGAUCUGGUGGUUUUCAAACCUUCACUUCGCCUCCUUUCUGAAAUUACACGUUUUUAAAUUUUUGUAUUAUUUAUAUACUUUUGAAUGAUUAGCAACAAUUUUGGGCUAGGUAAUGUUUAUUGCGAGUCCUCAAUGUUUGAUACCUAUUUGCACAGGACGUUGCCACUGUACGUUUUAUUUUUCAAACGUAUAAAAUAAAAAAAUUAAAAUUGUAUUUAUUUUAAUAAGGUAGCGGGUAGAAACUUCCAUAUCAUCGCCAGGAACAGUUCUACUUCAGGGACGCGACCCUGCCUACGCAAGCCUUGCUGUCUCCUCGUACAUUAUUUGAGGAAAGCAAGUCCCAAACCAUAGAUCCCAACCAACACCCUCAUUCCUAGCACAUCGUUAUCCCGUCAUCAACCAACUAGUCAAGGUGGGGCCAUCAGUUGAGACAGAAGCGAAAUAUUAAUUCCAUUUUGCCGUUAAAUGUUGCUGUUGGUCACAUAGCGAUAAGGGUUUUAUAGUAUCCUGCUGGAGUUAAAAACGCUUGACAGGGUUGUAAAAAGAGCUUCCGAAUUGUGGACAUUGGUCAAGCUCGAUCGAGAACCUUGUCCUUCGCUGUUCUUUCUCAUUUUUUUCAUUUGUGUUAAUUAAUUAUUUAAUUAAAAUUAAAUUUGGGGGUCACAGAUCUUUUGUGAGUACCAGCUGUAGAGAGCGUCUUGAUCGGGCCGUUUCAUCCACAUUCUCACGCAUUGUUUGGAUAUGGACAUCGUAAGUGUUUUAACGACAAGUGUGUUUAGCGUCUUCAACUGAUUGAGAAUCAGGAUUUUUCAAUGGUUUUUUUCCUGUUAACGAAGUUAAAACCCUGUUCUGACUAUAAUUUGUUUGAUAUUAUGUGUGAUUGGCUAACUUUCAUUAUAUUAUAUUGUUCAAGAAUGAAAACACGUAUCUUGUUACUCUUUGUUGUUGCCAACUGUGACUACUUUCCCAGGGUUGGCAACAGAUUAUUGCACAAAAAGCGGCAAUCUCAACCUGCGUCUGUUUAGGUUAGUUUAUUGUACAUUUUUUAUUGAUUAUUAGGAGCAGACGCCAGUAGUAAUAAUAUACUGAGCUGAGUUAUUUCGUAUCUGAUUGCCUGCAUCUUCAAUUAUUUUAUCUAACAGUAAGCGGGUAGUAAAUUCAACAUGGUGGAAAUGCUGCUUCAUGUGUUGUCAUAAAUAGAAAUCCAAAGGAUUCAUAUCUGAAGAACACGGCGGUCAGGCAGUUGGAUCUUGCUGACCUAUCAUUUCCUCUAGAAGUUAUUUUUUAACCAAUCCGUACUUGCCUGCCUCUGUAUGAUGGCGCAUUUGUACGGAAUGUACGGGCAGCAAAUUAUUCUUGAAAAUACAUCAGCGUUUACAUUUUCGUUUGCUUGUAGACUCAAUUAGUCCCACUAAGUGAAUUCCCUUUUUUAAAUGGAAAAACACUAAUAAAUUUACUGUUGUCAUUUUUUUGCAAAACUUAUAAGAUAUAAUUUUCUAUUCUAUUUCAUCCGAAAAUAGUAUAUGUUUACUUUUUCUAUUAAUUGCACAUCUUAGAGGAAGUUUGUUUUGACGAUAUAAUGUAUCUGCAUUAAAACUGUCAAAUAAAUUGUUUAAUUGUUUAUAUCUGACACAAAUUCUGCGGUAAGCAUGGUCUUACUUGUUAAAAAACUUGUGUCUGAGUAAAGAGAUUCUGAUGUCGAGGCAACUGUAUGACUGCGGGUUUUUGCUGCAAUUGAGAUUUUCAUUUUAGUAAAUGGAUUACUUUCCAAAUCAUUCAAAUAAUUACGGUUAAUUUUUCUCAUGGCUUGAUAUCGCCUUUUCUGGUAUAUUUCACUAGCUUCUUGAAUAUGUUUAUAUAUAUUCAUAUGAAUAUGGCAGAUUUAUUUUAUGAAUAGAAAAUAUCAUACCUAUACAAGGCAUUUCGUGUUGAAUUUAAUAAAUGUGGAGUAUCAUAAAAUAUCAA